rnacentral:rRNA from 1 species
GAUCCGUGGCUCAGGACGAACGCUGGCGGCGUGCCUAAGACAUGCAAGUCGAACGGAACUUAGCCGAAUGUUUACAUGAGGCGAAAGUUUAGUGGCGGACGGGUGAGUAACACGUGAGCAACCUGCCUUCGAGAGUGGGACAACAGAGAGAAAUUUCUGCUAAUACCACAUAUGACCACAGUACCGCAUGGUACAGGGGUGAAAGGAGCAAUCCGCUCGAAGAUGGGCUCGCGGCUGAUUAGCUAGUUGGUGAGGUAACGGCCCACCAAGGCGACGAUCAGUAGCCGAACUGAGAGGUUGAUCGGCCACAUUGGGACUGAGACACGGCCCAGACUCCUACGGGAGGCAGCAGUGGGGGAUAUUGCACAAUGGGGGAAACCCUGAUGCAGCAAUGCCGCGUGAGGGAAGAAGGUCUUCGGAUUGUAAACCUAAGUAGACAGGGACGAUAAUGACGGUACCUGUAAAGUAAGCUCCGGCUAACUACGUG